UCUAUACUCUCCUUCUCCAUCGGCCAAUUCCCCUUUUCCCCCAAUUUAAUUUCAACAAUCCUAGAUUAGAACCCUAGUUCUCCUCUCCCUCCUUCUUCUCGUCGACAAUCACCGCUCCUCCGGCCGCCGGAGCGCCCCCUGCUCCCGUUCUAGCCGCCCUCGGUCGCCGAUGCCUCGCAUCGAUGUAGAUCCCGCCGUCGUGCUUCCUGCCGCAGAGAGCAGCUCCAAGACGAAGACGGAUGCAGCGACGCUUUUCCCUCCUUCGCCGGUAGCCUUCCACGGCGUCUUCUCUCUCCCUUUCUCUCGAGAAUUUUCCGCUGCCACCGUGAGGUUCCGCCGUCGCACGUUUGAACCUGCCAUCUCAGAUCAGCCAAGCAGCGGCGCUGCUCCGGGAGGCUCGCCGUCGCUGUUGCUGCUGUGACACACCGCCCGUCGUCCGUACUACUCCUCCGUUGAGAAGCUCGAGUCCGUUGAUGUAUAGAGAUGAGUUCUCCUUACUCCCUUUUCUUAGUUUCACUCUUGAAGGUAGUAAUUGUUCUUUACAGCUUGGUUACUUUGAAGAACAUGGUUCUUAUUAGUGUGUGGAUUUUUAUUCAUUUAUUUUCUUUUUUUUUUGGUGAUUUACGGCUCAGCUCCUUUAAUAGGAUGUUUUCAUUCACAGCUACUACAUUAUGAAUUAUUUGAUGUUCUAAACCUGAGUAGGUAUUAAAACUUGAGUUGUUGAGCUAUUUCUACAGUUGCUGAUCUUUCCAUUAGAUUGCCUAGGCAUUUUGUACAAAAGGGGCUUUCAUGCUUUUGUGUUCUAUGGUGCAUUUGGACUACAUGACAAUAUGAGAUUCGGCUUGAGCUUGAAAGGAGACGUGUGUUACCUCUUGAAGGUGCACCAGGUUGAAGGGUGUUGCAGCUGCAGGCUGCUGCAGCUGUUCUGCGGCUGUCCCCUUUUCCGGCUCAUGGCAGCUUUCGGUUAUGGACUGAAGGGUGCAGGGUUUUGUUAGCUGUGGAUCUGCAGACGUGCAGCGGCUGUACCCUCUCUUUUCUCUGGGCUCGGAGCAGCCUUCGGUUAUGGGAUUCAGAGGGUUGCAGGAGCUACUGUGGCUAUUUAGAGUAGUUGUGCAGCUGUCUUGCUGCGGUCUUUAUUCACCCUGAGGGAUGUUGGAGGCACGACCCCUCAACCUGGUUCGGUUUUAACUGAUUUUGCUCGGUGUUGGCCGUGUCUAAGGCUAGCUGCCGAGGCUGCUUCUUCCUCGCGGUCUCGCCCUCGUGGGCUUUCUGCAAUUUUGGCCGAGACGGCCUAGUGGAGAAGGUCGACAUAGUCGCUAGGGGUCUCGAGUUGUAAUAGCGCAGUUCGAAUUUAAUUUCCAUUAACUUUGUAUGCAAAACUCGAUACUAGUUGGUGUGUCUUUCUUUGUAACUUAUUAGCUUGAAAUUCUUUACAUUGUAUCUAUCUUUUUUUUUUUCAAGAAAUAAAGAUACUCUUUCAUUUUUCAUAAA